UUCCGGUUGAUCCUGCCGGAGGUCACUGCUAUCGGGGUUCGAUUAAGCCAUGCGAGUCGAGAGGGUUCGGCCCUCGGCGCAUUACUCAGUAACACGUGGAUAACCUGCCCUAAGGAAGGGGAUAACCUCGGGAAACUGAGGAUAAUACCCUAUAGGUUACAGACGCUGGAAUGCCCUGUAACCGAAAGUUCCGGCGCCUUAGGAUGGAUCUGCGGCCGAUUAGGUUGUUGUUGGGGUAACGGCCCAACAAGCCGAUAAUCGGUACGGGUUGUGGGAGCAAGAGCCCGGAGUUGGAUUCUGAGACACGAAUCCAGGCCCUACGGGGCGCAGCAGGCGCGAAAACUUUACAAUGCGGGAAACCGUGAUAAGGGAACCUCGAGUGCCUGUAUAUGCAGGCUGUCCAGGUGUCUAAAAAACACCUGAAGAAAGGGCCGGGCAAGACCGGUGCCAGCCGCCGCGGUAAUACCGGCGGCUCGAGUGGUGGCCACUUUUAUUGGGCUUAAAGCGUUCGUAGCUGGGUUGUUAAGUCUCUUGGGAAAUCUGGCGGCUUAACCGUCAGGCGUCCAAGGGAUACUGGCAAUCUUGGAACCGGGAGAGGUGAGGGGUACUUCGGGGGUAGGAGUGAAAUCCUGUAAUCCUCGAGGGACCACCUGUGGCGAAGGCGCCUCACCAGAACGGCUUCGACAGUGAGGGACGAAAGCUGGGGGAGCAAACCGGAUUAGAUACCCGGGUAGUCCCAGCCCUAAACGAUGCGCGUUAGGUGUAUCGGUGACCACGAGUCACCGAGGUGCCGAAGGGAAACCGUGAAACGUGCCGCCUGCGGAGUACGGUCGCAAAGGCUGAACUUAAAGGAAUUGGCGGGGGAAGCAC
rnacentral:rRNA from 1 species